CCUGGUGGAAAGGGGGAAUCGAUCGAAUGGAACAAUUCUGGUGGAGUCUUGGCCCUGCGUUGUAGAUCCGCAAACUGAGGAACACUCUGUCUUGUGUAAUUCUCUUUCGCCCAGGCUGUUUAUUUUCCUUUGAUGACUCCGCCCCGGUGCUUCUGUCCCCGGCCUCAAUAUCAUCUUGGCAAAAACAACGUAGUCUUCUUCUUUUGCUGGCGACUGGGGCAUGCAGAAGACCGACUGCAUCUGCCGCGCGUAUAGACAUACGGCAAGCCGACAAACUUCAAAAACAACA
rnacentral:sRNA from 1 species